GUCGCUAGAAAGAACCAGAGAGAAGGAAAAUCCCUUCUUCUCCAACACAUUCCAAAAUUCAGCAAAUUGAAGAUGAUUUAAGGAUAAAUUCGAAUGCAUGUCUCUAAUUUCUCAAUCGUCUAACUAUUCUCAACCCUAGGCGUGAAGGAAGAGGAUACAAGUCAAUCCGGUUCGCAAGCAAAUGCAAAACAAAGGCGUGAAGGAAGAGGAUACAAGUCAAUCCGGUUCGCAAGCAAAUGCAAAACAAAGGUAAAUCUCAUCUUUGAUGAUGCCGAGCUUGGAUCGAACACACCACGCCGCCCUUUACGCGCUUCCGGUUUAAGUUUGCCUUUUGUAAACGGGUCAAAACUAUUUUAGAAUGUAAAUGUUAGUUUUUUCAAGAUUAAGGUCUUUUGUUAGUAAGUAUGUUAAAUUUGUACUCACAUGGUGGAUUAUGUUAGCUCUUGUGAUUAAAUUAGAUGGUUACGUU